rnacentral:rRNA from 1 species
AAUGAACGUGGGCGGCGUGGAUUAGGCAUGCAAGUCGUACGGGGCCGCAAGGUACCCGUGGCGCAAGGGUGAGUAAGGCGACGGUAACCAACCCCGCGGUCGGGCAUAGCCGAGGGAAACUUCGGGUAAUUCCCAGCGACGUGACGGCCCGGCAUCGGGCCCUCACCAAAGAUUCAUCGCCGCGGGACGGGCCGUUGUGGUAUUAGCUUGUUGGCGGGGUGACGGCCCACCAAGGCCGCGAUGCCUACCGGGCGUGCGAGCGUGGCCCGGCACACUGGGACUGAGACACUGCCCAGACUCCUACGGGAGGCUGCAGUCGAGAAUCUUCGGCAAUGGGCGCAAGCCUGACCGAGCGACGCCGCGUGGAGGACGAAGGCCUUCGGGUUGUAAACUCCUGUCGAGGGGGAGGAAGGGGCGACCUUGACCGAUCCCUGGAGGAAGCACGGGCUAAGUUCGUGCCAGCAGCCGCAGUAAGACGAACCGUGCGAACGUUAUUCGGAAUCACUGGGCUUAAAGCGCGUGUAGGCGGGCCGCCGCGUCGGCUGCUGAAAUCCCCCGGCUCAACCGGGGAACGGGCACCGAUACGGGCG